UAUAAUUUGAAUAGGAUUUUGCUGAGGAGUGUGAUUUGGGAGUUUGUGUGUGGUUUGAGAAGGAGAGUUGUGGGUAUAUUUAUAGGAAAGCGCGGCUCGUUAAUACCUCGUAUAUAAAAACGCGGGCCUUUGUAAUUCCUCGCUAUUUCCUCGUACAAUAAAACGCGGGCCUUUGUAAUUGCUCGCUAUUUCGUCGUAAUCUUACGAGGAAUUUGCAACAAUAUUAAAAUCGUCGUUAAUACCUCGUAUAUAA
rnacentral:lncRNA from 1 species